AUACGUAGGGUGCAAGCGUUAAUCGGAAUUACUGGGCGUAAAGCGUGCGCAGGCGGUUUUGUAAGACAGUGGUGAAAUCCCCGGGCUCAACCUGGGAACUGCCUUUGUGACUGCAAGGCUAGAGUACGGAACAGGGGGAUGGAAUUCCGCGUGGAGAAGUGAAAUGCGUAGAUAUGCGGAGGAACACCGAUGGCGAAGGCAAGCCCCUGGGCCUGUACUGACGCUCAUGCACGAAAGCGUGGGGAGCAAACAGGAUUAGAUACCCUGGUAGUCCACGCCCUAAACGAUGUCAACUGGUUGUUGGGUCUUCAUUGACUCAGUAACGAAGCUAACGCGUGAAGUUGACCGCCUGGGGAGUACGGCCGCAAGGUUGAAACUCAAAUGAAUUGACGGGG
rnacentral:rRNA from 1 species